UACGUAGGGUGCGAGCGUUAAUCGGAAUUACUGGGCGUAAAGCGUGCGCAGGCGGCUUACUAAGACAGGUGUGAAAGCCCCGAGCUUAACUUGGGAAUGGCGCUUGUAACUGGUAGGCUGGAGUGUGGCAGAGGGAGGUGGAAUUCCACGUGUAGCAGUGAAAUGCGUAGAGAUGUGGAGGAACACCGAUGGCGAAGGCAGCCUCCUGGGCCAGCACUGACGCUCAUGCACGAAAGCGUGGGGAGCAAACAGG
rnacentral:rRNA from 1 species